GGCUUAUGUGUUUUUGCGCGUAGCUCGCGAGGACAUAUCAGUGGAGAGAAAUAUUUUUUUUGGCGUUAUUUUGCCGCAUUUCAGCUCAUCGAAUAUGAAAUUCAGGCUGCAAACUACGUACGUUCAGGAGGAAGAGGACUGUAUGUGCACAUACAUGAUACGAUCUCUUCUGGAUCAUCUCUGCAGGUUUCACAUUCCACUCAGUGCAUUAUGUGAGAGAAGACAACGCCCCUCCAUUCUGCUUCCUGAACAUUUCAAAU